AGAGUUUGAUCCUGGCUCAGAACUAACGCUGGCGGCGUGGCUUAUGCAUGCAAGUCGAACGGCAAAGCCCGCAAGGGCGAGUAAGUGGCGAAAGGGUGAGUAGUACUCAGGCAAUCUGCCCCUGGGACGGGGAUAGCUGCGGGAAACUGCAGGUAAUACCCGACGGGCUCACGGAGUCCGAGGACUUCGCGAGGAAACGGCGGGGAUCCGCAAGGACCUGCCACCCAGGGAGGAGCUCGAGCCCUAUCAAGUAGUUGGCGGGGUGACGGCCCACCAAAUCCUACGACGGGUACCCGGACUGAGAGGUUGGCCGGGCACUCUGGCACUGAUACACUGGCCAAGACUCCUACUGGAGGAUGCUGUUGAGAAUCUUCCGCUAUGGGGGCAACCCUGAUGGAUCGAUACCACGUGGAGGAAGAGGGUCUUCGGGUUGUAAACUCCUGUCACGACUUAAUAAUGCGCCCGGAGCAACUACCCUGCGUUGACUAAUGGUCUGAUGGAAUCCACUACUCACUUCUUGCUCAUCACCCUGUCGUAAUAAGAAAGUUUGCUAUCGCUCGUUUCGAAUUCACUGGGAUUUUAAGAGGAGCUUAUGACUGGCUCCCAUUCUGGCGAUGUGUCAUCCCCCGGGCUCUUCUCUUGAAAUUUUCUCUCCUUACUUCUUGUUUUUCAUGGACUAGUUUGUUUGAAUUGUUACUCUCUGU
rnacentral:rRNA from 1 species